rnacentral:rRNA from 1 species
UACGGGGGGGGCAAGCGUUGUUCGGAAUUAUUGGGCGUAAAGGGCGCGUAGGCGGUUUGUCAAGUUUCGGGUGAAAACCUCGUGCUCAACCCGAAGCCUGCACGGAAAACUGCCGGGCUUGAGUAUGGGAGAGGUGAGUGGAAUUUCCGGUGUAGCGGUGAAAUGCGUAGAUAUCGGACGGAACACCUGUGGCGAAAGCGGCUCACUGGACCAUAACUGACGCUGAGGCGCGAAAGCUAGGGGAGCAAACAGG